CGAACCAAACCAAACCAAACCGCAAGAAUAAUGAAUACUAGCCAAAUUACAUAGCUCAAGAAUAAUCUUUUUCGAUUCAAUUUUUCCAUUGUUGCAACAUCAGGUACGAUUCUAAUUCCUUUCCAUCUCUUUCAAUUCAUUUCCAGUGAUGAUUUUGUUUCCUUUAUUUCCCAAUAAUUUGUUUCAUGCUUAUGUUUCUUCUUAAUUUUACCUAUUUUGAUAUAAGUUUUACCUAGGGGUGUAACAGUUCGGUUUGAAUUGAUUUUUAGUCAAAAAAAAUGUCUAAACUGACAAAACCUUCAUCGGUUUGGAUUGAUUCGAUUUUCACUUAAUUUCAAAAAAGAAACCGAACCAAACUUGGUUUGGUUCGGUUGACCGGUUUAUUUAAAAAUACAAUUAAAAAAAUUUCAUAUUUUCACAAAAUAUUUCAUAGAACAUUGUAUAAUUGUAUUUCAUAUUUUGUUUUUUCAUGUUCUCUAUUUUUCAAACAACUUUUUAUAAUUAACUUUACUCAAUAUUUCAUACAUAUGAUCCAAGAUUCAUUCAUCCAUUCUUCAAAAACAACUUCAUCAAACUCAAAUAUUUAGUAGAGAUGAACAAUGGGUUUGGUGUGGUUGACGACUAGGGUUUCUUUUUUAGUAGAAAUGAAAGAGUCUGACUGAUGAGAUAAGAGAAAGUGAAUGGAUUAAAAAAUAUUUUAUGUUUAAUUUUGGGCUGAACCAUAAGUUUGUGUGAGGUAGGAUAAUAUUAGUAAAAUAAGGAGUGUGGUUAUCAUCGGAUUGGUUCAUCGGUUUCACGGAUAUCGAAAUGAAAAACCAUGAACCAAACCAAACUAGAUCGGUUUCGAUUGGCUUGGAUUGGUUUCAAACCGAACCAAAUAAGGUCGGAUAUUUUUCGGUUUGGUUCGGUUUAAACUUUUGAUUUCGUUGGUUCAGUCUGAACCACUUACACCCCUAGUUUUACCUAAUAUUUUAUCAUAUAAACAGCAAAAUAAAAUGUCAUAUGUUUAUUUUGUAAUAAGUUGGCAAUAUUAGAGUUAAUGUAAU
rnacentral:lncRNA from 1 species